rnacentral:rRNA from 1 species
UGGCUCAGAACGAACGCUGGCGGCAUGCUUAACACAUGCAGGUCGCACGGGCAGCUUCGGCUGUCAGUGGCGGACGGGUGAGUAACGCGUAGGUAUCUAUCCUUGGGUGGGGGACAACCGUGGGAAACUACGGCUAAUACCGCAUGACGACUGAGGUCCAAAGGCGCAAGUCGCCUGGGGAGGAGCCUGCGUCCGAUUAGCUUGUUGGUGGGGUAAUGGCCUGGCAAAGCUCCGAUCGGUAGCUGGUCUGAGAGGAUAAUCAGCCACAUUUUUCUCUGAGACACGGACCAGACUCUNACGGGAG